AAUACUUAAGUGUACAUAUAAUAAUGUUAAAAAAUUAAGGCAUUUAUCUGGAGGAAAAAUAGCAGGUACGGCACUAAUGACUGUCUCACGGAUGGAGCACAAUUUUUCAUGUGGCUUGUUAGCGGCUUGGACCGAAGUCAAAACAUAAUGGACAGAAAACCACUCUCAAAACAACAACAACAAAAAAGACAUAAAAGACAGUCUUUUUUGAACAGAAUCCCAGGCCAGGAACAACUGAGACAACCAUAGCUGGAUUUUACUGACAUCUAUUCAAACACGCUACUCGCCCAAGGAGAGAAGAAUGCUCCGAUUGUUUGAAUAACCCGAGUCAAUUCAGAGGAAUAUGUAGGCAAAAGCACGAAGAAGGACUGAAGGUAAAAUAGUGAAAUGAGGAAAAUCACAAGGAGAAGAGGACUGAUUGUUCUUUGUGGAACGAUUUAGAAAACUUUCUGCUUUGAAGCUAAAAAAAAAAAUAGUUAUUUGACUAAACUAGGCUUGUUUUUUGUACUUUUUGUC